AUCAUCCUAUCGCUCUUACGUGAAAACAGUUUCAUUUCGACCGUGUUCACUUCAUGAUUCAUUUUGUGUUGUGAUCAAUUCAAAGAUGGCGUCGGUUGUAAAUAAACUUUAAGAGUUUUUCUCAUACUAAUUUGAAUUCUAUUAUCAAAUCAAUCAUUGGACUAUUUUUCUGGAAGGCGUCAAACGGGACAUCACAUAGAGUUUGCAAUGUGAAUCAGAUUUGCGCACGGUUCCGGAAGAGACGGUGCUGUUCAAAUUGUUCUUCUUUUAGUGAAAAUUGAGCGAGCAUCGUCUGCGACCACUUGGCGGAAGAUUCGAGCCCGAAUUCUAUUAGAACCAUGCGAUUUCAUUAACAACUUAAAUUAAACUGUGUCGGUAUCUAAUGUUGAAUAAAUACAAUAAAUACAGGUUGAACAAAAGUAAUUAUUUAUUUUGUACCAUUAA